UGGGGAAUAUUGGACAAUGGGCGCAAGCCUGUUCCAGCCAUGCCGCGUGUGUGAAGAAGGCCUUUUGGUUGUAAAGCACUUUAAGCGAGGAGGAGGCUACUUGGAUUAAUACUCUAGGAUAGUGGACGUUACUCGCAGAAUAAGCACCGGCUAACUCUGUGCCAGCAGCCGCGGUAAUACAGAGGGUGCGAGCGUUAAUCGGAUUUACUGGGCGUAAAGCGUGCGUAGGCGGCUUUUUAAGUCGGAUGUGAAAUCCCUGAGCUUAACUUAGGAAUUGCAUUCGAUACUGGGAAGCUAGAGUAUGGGAGAGGAUGGUAGAAUUCCAGGUGUAGCGGUGAAAUGCGUAGAGAUCUGGAGGAAUACCGAUGGCGAAGGCAGCCAUCUGGCCUAAUACUGACGCUGAGGUACGAAAGCAUGGGGAGCAAACAGG
rnacentral:rRNA from 1 species